UACGUGGGGUGCGAGCGUUGUCCGGAAUUAUUGGGCGUAAAGGGCUCGUAGGCGGUGUGUCACGUCGGCCGUGAAAACUUGCAGCUUAACUGUGGGCGUGCGGUCGAUACGGGCAUCACUGGAGUUCGGCAGGGGAGACUGGAAUUCCUGGUGUAGCGGUGAAAUGCGCAGAUAUCAGGAGGAACACCGGUGGCGAAGGCGGGUCUCUGGGCCGAUACUGACGCUGAGGAGCGAAAGCGUGGGGAGCAAACAGG
rnacentral:rRNA from 1 species